GUGGAGCAGACUCGAAAUGUCUCAAUGAUUUCCAUCACUUUGUCUUGUAAAGAGCUAGAUGCCAACUCCCCAGGGUAUCAAAUGCCAAUCUCAAACAAAAACCCGGGAAAAGAAUUAUCAGUAGCAGUAGCAUCUACUACCCAGACAAGCUUGUGCCCCUGUUAAUGAUGAUGGUGAGUCUGAUCAGGAGAACAAAAAUGAAGCUAACAUUUGUCUUGUUUGUUUGAAAUAUCUUGAACAUGUUCACUAGUGUUUGUAAUCUCUCUCUUGAAGAAGAAGAAUCUCUUUUGUUGCUUAUAUCUGAUUUCUCAACUCUUUAGGACUUGUGCUUUGCCUCCCCCUUCAUACUAUGAACUGUUUCUGUCAAUAAUUUUUCAAUUUCAGUUUCA